AUAAGUCACCCAGGACAAACGCAACGACUAAUAACAUCCAGACAUGUCUAGCUAGUGCUCUCUGAUGUUCAGUAUGAAUACUGUUUAACUUAGAUAGAAAUGAACCUAUAUUGCCUAAUUGGUUUGAGUCUAAAGGGGGUGAGAGAAGGAGGGUUAUGAUGAGAUCAAUAACUCACUGAGUGAAUCUGUCCCUCUCAAGACUGCCAUCACUCCAUCAGCAUGCAAUAACGCUGGACUCAAUUCCAGGUUCUCUACCCCUAUGCUGUGUUGACCUGUGACUCCCUAACAUUCUCUCUGAUUGGUGGAGCUGCUGUGUGUAUGGACUUGAACAGGAAGUGCGUUGAGCGAAGAAUGAUUUCAGAAAUGUAACGAGGUCAGAGAUCUUUUCCGGAGCCUGGAGAGAAUCUACUCCCAACAAGUUCACAAGUAUUUGACCUCCCACAAUGCCAUGUUAAAAAACUAUGGGGGAUGGGGGACACCAAAACCACUUUGUGUGGGUUUAAAUAGAUGUGGCUCACCAAUCCUAACUCUAAAGCCGCUAAAAGUCUAAACCAGAACUACAUCUGAAGGGAAUACACAGCUAUAGCUACAAAGACACGUACAGUGCCUUCAGAAAGUAUUCAGACCCCUUGACUUUUUCCACAUUAAGUUACGUUACAGCUUUAUUCUAAAAUUGGUUUUGUUUUUAAAUCCUCAGCAAUUUACACGCAAUACCCCAUAAUGACAAAAACAGAAAUUCCUUAUUUACAGAAGUAUUCAAACCCUAUGAUAUGAUACUCAAAGUUGAGCUCAGGUGCAUCCUGUUUCCAUCGAUCAUCCUUGAGAUGUUUCUACAACUUUAUUGGCGUACACCUGUGGUAAAUUCAAUUGAUUGGACAUGAUUUGGAAAGGCACACACCUGUCUUUAUAGCUGAUGGUGCAAGCCAUGGGAUCAAAGGAAUUGUCCAUAGAGCUCUGAGGCACAGCAUUGAAGUUC